GAUGAACGCUGGCGGCGUGCUUAACACAUGCAAGUCGAACGUGAAGCCUAGAAUGAUUACUUCGGUUUGAUUUUUAGGUGGAAAGUGGCGAACGGGUGAGUAACGCGUAGGUGAUCUGCCUUGGAGAGGGGGAUAACCAUUGGAAACGAUGGCUAAUACCGCAUGGUCCUGUGGGUAUGGGAAUGCCCGCAGGUAAAGCUCCGGCGCUCCAAGAGGAGCCUGCGUCCGAUUAGCUAGUUGGUGGGGUAAAGGCCUACCAAGGCUGCGAUCGGUAGCUGGUCUGAGAGGACGAUCAGUCACAUGGGAACUGAGACACGGUCCCAACUCCUACGGGGGGCAGCAGUGAGGAAUAUUGCACAAUGGGGGAAACCCUGAUGCAGCAACGCCGCGUGGAGGAUGAAGGCUUUUGAGUUGUAAACUCCUUUUCUGGGGGAAGAGAUAAGGACGGUACCUCAGGAAUAAGGUCCGGCUAACUACG
rnacentral:rRNA from 1 species